rnacentral:rRNA from 1 species
UUCCAGACUCCUACGGGAGGCAGCAGUGAGGAAUAUUGGUCAAUGGGCGGAAGCCUGAACCAGCCAAGUCGCGUGAGGGAAGAAGGCCCUGCGGGUCGCAGACCUCUUUGGACGGGGAGCAAGGCCGCCGACGUGUCGGCGGAAGGAGAGUACCCGUAGAACAAGCAUCGGCUAACUCCGUGCCAGCAGCCGCGGUAAUACGGAGGAUGCGAGCGUUAUCCGGAUUUAUUGGGUUUAAAGGGUGCGCAGGGGGCACGGCAAGCCGGCGGUCAAAUCGCGGGGCUCAACCCUGUCGAGCCGUUGAAACUGGCAGACUUGAGUUGGCGAGAAGUACGCGGAAUGCGCGGUGUAGCGGUGAAAUGCAUAGAUAUCGCGCAGAACUCCGAUUGCGAAGGCAGCGUACCGGCGCCAGACUGACGCUGAGGCACGAAAGCGUGGGGAUCGAACAGGAUUAGAUACCCCGGUAG